rnacentral:rRNA from 1 species
UGGAUAGUAACAGUUACUUGGAUAACUGCGGUAAUUCUGGAGCUAAUACAUGCAUAAAGCCCCAACUCACGAAGGGGCGCUUUUAUUAGAUCAAAACCAAACGGCUUCGGCUGUACUCUUGGUGAUUCUGAAUAACUUUGGGCUGAUCGCAUAGCCUUGCGCUGGCGACAUAUCCUUCGAAGGUGUGCCCUAUCAACUGUCGACUGUGGCAUAGACGCCCACAGUGGUUUUGACGGGUAACGGGGAAUCAGGGUUCGAUUCCGGAGAGGGAGCCUUAAAAACGGCUACCACAUCUAAGGAAGGCAGCAGGCACGCAAAUUACCCAAUGACCGAAGGUCGAGGUAGUGACGAAAAAUAACGAUAGCGGUCUCAUCCGAGGUACGCUAAUUGGAAUGAGUACACUUUAAAACCGUCCCCGAGGAUCUAUUGGAGGGCAAGUCUGGU